rnacentral:rRNA from 2 species
UGCAGUCGAACGGAGUUCUUCGGAACUUAGUGGCGGACGGGUGAGUAACGCGUGAGAAUCUGGCUUCAGGUUCGGGACAACAGUUGGAAACGGCUGCUAAUACCGGAUGUGCCUAAGGGUGAAAGAUUUAUCACCUGAAGAUGAGCUCGCGUCUGAUUAGCUAGUAGGUGUGGUAAGAGCGCACCUAGGCGACGAUCAGUAGCUGGUCUGAGAGGAUGACCAGCCACACUGGGACUGAGACACGGCCCAGACUCCUACGGGAGGCAGCAGUGGGGAAUUUUCCGCAAUGGGCGAAAGCCUGACGGAGCAAUACCGCGUGAGGGAGGAAGGCUCUUGGGUUGUAAACCUCUUUUCUCAGGGAAUAAGUACUGAAGGUACCUGAGGAAUCAGCAUCGGCUAACUCCGUGCCAGCAGCCGCGGUAAUACGGAGGAUGCAAGCGUUAUCCGGAAUGAUUGGGCGUAAAGCGUCCGCAGGUGGUUUUUCAAGUCUGCUGUCAAAGAGUUUGGCUUAACCAGAUAAAGGCAGUGGAAACUGAGAGACUAGAGUAUGGUAGGGGUAGAGGGAAUUCCUGGUGUAGCGGUGAAAUGCGUAUAGAUCAGGAAGAACACCGGUGGCGAAAGCGCUCUGCUGGACCAAAACUGACACUGAGGGACGAAAGCUAGGGGAGCGAAUGGGAUUAGAUACCCCAGUAGUCCUAGCCGUAAACGAUGGAUACUAGGCGUUGCCCGUAUCGACCCGGGCAGUGUCGUAGCCAACGCGUUAAGUAUCCCGCCUGGGGAGUACGCACGCAAGUGUGAAACUCAAAGGAAUUGACGGGGGCCCGCACAAGCGGUGGAGUAUGUGGUUUAAUUCGAUGCAACGCGAAGAACCUUACCAGGGCUUGACAUGUCCGGAAUCUCUUGGAAACGAGAGAGUGCCUACGGGAGCCGGAACACGGGUGGUGCAUGGCUGUCGUCAGCUCGUGUCGGGAAAUGUUGGGUUAAGUCCCCCAACGAGCGCAACCCUCGUUCUUAGUUGCCACCACUUCGGGGGGGCAUUCUAAGGAAACUGCCGGUGAACACCGGAGAAAGGGGGGGAUGACUUCAAGUCAGCCUGCCCCUUACGUCGGGGGCUACCACGUACUAAAUUGCUGGGAAAAAGG